rnacentral:rRNA from 1 species
UACGUAGGGUGCGAGCGUUAAUCGGAAUUACUGGGCGUAAAGCGUGCGCAGGCGGUGAUGUAAGACAGGUGUGAAAUCCCCGGGCUUAACCUGGGAACUGCAUUUGUGACUGCAUCGCUGGAGUGCGGCAGAGGGGGAUGGAAUUCCGCGUGUAGCAGUGAAAUGCGUAGAUAUGCGGAGGAACACCGAUGGCGAAGGCAAUCCCCUGGGCCUGCACUGACGCUCAUGCACGAAAGCGUGGGGAGCGAAACAAGG